UUUAGGCUUUGUGAUCUGUGCUGCAAUCACUCAGUUCUACCAGUGUCUCUACAAAGUAGCCACAGACUUAUACAUAGACAGGGGAAAGCAAUGAAGAAUGAUGAGAAAAACAUGGGUCUUUUGCCACUGGCAGAUUUGGGAUCAAAUCCCAGCUUUGUCACUUAGUAAUAGCAAUCCAUGUUGCCACCAAGUUGCAGAUGCUGCCAUAACACCAACCUGACUUCCCUGGGCAGAUGACCUCACCAAUGUGUCCUGGAACCCCACCUCUCCAGAGUCCUACCCCACCAGGGAAAAGUAGAAACACCGGGGGGGGGGGGGUUAUGGAUCGACCUGUCAACACCCAUGUCCAGUGGAGAAGCAAUUACAGAAGCCAGACCUUCCACCUUCUGCCCCCCACCCCAAGAAUUUUGUUCCAACUCCAAGAAGCUUCCAGUAAAGGGGACAGGAUACAGAACUCUGGUGCUGGGAACUGUAUGGAAUUAUACCCCUCUUAUCACACAAUCUUGUCAGUCAUUAUUAAAUCACUAAUAAAAUAAGUUUAAAAAAUUUUUAAUUGCUUUUUCUUUGGUCACUAGAUAGCUCAGAGGUGAAGUCUUGGUUCUAACUUUGUGAUGUGUUUGCAGUUCUCAGGGCAUUUGCUCACUUACUAAUUUUAUUUUAUUUUUCAAUGUGAAAUUUUUAGAUUUGAAAUAUUUGACAACAUCAUUUUUGAGAAGUUGUGUCUUGAGCUGUCUUUUUUUUUUUUUUUUCUUUGUUCAUGUCAGUAGUUUCCCUGUUGUGAUAAACUCAUGACUGACUUGUAUCUAGAUUUAUUUAGGUAAUUCCAUAGUGAUGGGCCAGCAAGAUAACUCACCUGAAAGGGUGUCUUCUUUGUCAUGAACAAAACAUAGGUUCAAGUCUUGCCCCCACUGAACCAUGGGAAGCUUUGGUGUGGUGGUGUUUAUUUAUUUACUUAAUUAUUUAUUUUUCCCUCUCUCUUCAUGUCUUCUUUACAUAUAUCUAGAAAGGUUGGCAUCUGAAGUUAUUAAGAAGAAUGAGCUAAGUGUUCUGCAUGGAAAGAAAUGUUAGAAACAUGGAAAGAGGGAGUGACAAGGAAAUUCUUACAAUCUCUUUGAAUCUAAGGGUCUAGAAAGAGCAGAAGAAAGC